UCGAUUUGGAGUUUGUUGCCUAGAGUGAUGGGCUCCGAAGCUAACGCGAUAAAUCGACCGCCUGGGGAGUACGGCCGCAAGGUUAAAACUCAAAUGAAUUGACGGGGGCCCGCACAAGCGGUGGAGCAUGUGGUUUAAUUCGAUGCGACGCGAAGAACCUUACCUGGUCUUGACAUCCACAGAAUCUUGCAGAGAUGUAAGAGUGCCUUCGGGAACUGUGAGACAGGUGCUGCAUGGCUGUCGUCAGCUCGUGUUGUGAAAUGUUGGGUUAAGUCCCGCAACGAGCGCAACCCUUAUCCUUUGUUGCCAUCGGUUCGGCCGGGAACUCAAAGGAGACUGCCGUUGAUAAAGCGGAGGAAGGUGGGGACGACGUCAAGUCAUCAUGGCCCUUACGACCAGGGCUACACACGUGCUACAAUGGCGUAUACAAAGGGAGGCGACCUCGCGAGAGCAAGCGGACCUCAUAAAGUACGUCUAAGUCCGGAUUGGAGUCUGCAACUCGACUCCAUGAAGUCGGAAUCGCUAGUAAUCGUGAAUCAGAAUGUCACGGUGAAUACGUUCCCGGGCCU
rnacentral:rRNA from 1 species